CUUCUGUAUCCAAUCCUCGAAUUUCGUUGAGUUCAAUUUCUCUCCUCUGUUUUUAAUCCAUUAGCAUGAGAAAAAUAAGAUUAAUCCAAAUUGAACCGAAAUCUAAAAUUCACAUCUCUAAUCAGAGAUCCGGUCCGGUUCAGUCAGAUCCAAAGUGCAUUCACUUAAGUAAAAAGCUAAAAAGUAACAAUAUGUACAGUUACGUAUACACAACACCCAUCAAUUCAAGUUGGUUUAUCUUAAACCGGGUAAGAUAGAGAAUUUCAUAAAUUACCCGAAGAAGCCAUUUUUCUUGUGG